AUACGGCCAUAUCACGUUGAAUUGAAUCACCGGUUCACAUACUAUUAUGGAAGUUAAGCAACGUCGAAACUGGUGAGUACUUAGAUGGGUGACCACUUGGAAAUAGCAGAUGCUGCAAG